AGGCUAACAGUGAGGUCUGGGCCCCUUACACCAAACAGCCAAGCUGUGAAUGUAAAGGAAAGGUCCUUGAAGGAAAUUAGAAGUGCUACUCCAGUGCACACAGGAAUGCUAAGAAAGUGAAACAGCCUUGCUGCUGAUAGGGAGAAAGUGCGAGUGGUCUGGAUCGACCA